GAUGAACGCUGGCGGCGUGCCUAAUACAUGCAAGUCGAGCGAACGGACGAGAAGCUUGCUUCUCUGAUGUUAGCGGCGGACGGGUGAGUAACACGUGGAUAACCUACCUAUAAGACUGGGAUAACUUCGGGAAACCGGAGCUAAUACCGGAUAAUAUUUUGAACCGCAUGGUUCAAAAGUGAAUGACGGUCUUGCUGUCACUUAUAGAUGGAUCCGCGCUGCAUUAGCUAGUUGGUAAGGUAACGGCUUACCAAGGCAACGAUGCAUAGCCGACCUGAGAGGGUGAUCGGCCACACUGGAACUGAGACACGGUCCAGACUCCUACGGGAGGCAGCAGUAGGGAAUCUUCCGCAAUGGGCGAAAGCCUGACGGAGCAACGCCGCGUGAGUGAUGAAGGUCUUCGGAUCGUAAAACUCUGUUAUUAGGGAAGAACAUAUGUGUAAGUAACUGUGCACAUCUUGACGGUACCUAAUCAGAAAGCCACGGCUAACUACGUGCCAGCAGCCGCGGUAAUACGUAGGUGGCAAGCGUUAUCCGGAAUUAUUGGGCGUAAAGCGCGCGUAGGCGGUUUUUUAAGUCUGAUGUGAAAGCCCACGGCUCAACCGUGGAGGGUCAUUGGAAACUGGAAAACUUGAGUGCAGAAGAGGAAAGUGGAAUUCCAUGUGUAGCGGUGAAAUGCGCAGAGAUAUGGAGGAACACCAGUGGCGAAGGCGACUUUCUGGUCUGUAACUGACGCUGAUGUGCGAAAGCGUGGGGAUCAAACAGGAUUAGAUACCCUGGUAGUCCACGCCGUAAACGAUGAGUGCUAAGUGUUAGGGGGUUUCCGCCCCUUAGUGCUGCAGCUAACGCAUUAAGCACUCCGCCUGGGGAGUACGACCGCAAGGUUGAAACUCAAAGGAAUUGACGGGGACCCGCACAAGCGGUGGAGCAUGUGGUUUAAUUCGAAGCAACGCGAAGAACCUUACCAAAUCUUGACAUCCUUUGACAACUCUAGAGAUAGAGCCUUCCCCUUCGGGGGACAAAGUGACAGGUGGUGCAUGGUUGUCGUCAGCUCGUGUCGUGAGAUGUUGGGUUAAGUCCCGCAACGAGCGCAACCCUUAAGCUUAGUUGCCAUCAUUAAGUUGGGCACUCUAAGUUGACUGCCGGUGACAAACCGGAGGAAGGUGGGGAUGACGUCAAAUCAUCAUGCCCCUUAUGAUUUGGGCUACACACGUGCUACAAUGGACAAUACAAAGGGCAGCGAAACCGCGAGGUCAAGCAAAUCCCAUAAAGUUGUUCUCAGUUCGGAUUGUAGUCUGCAACUCGACUACAUGAAGCUGGAAUCGCUAGUAAUCGUAGAUCAGCAUGCUACGGUGAAUACGUUCCCGGGUCU
rnacentral:rRNA from 1 species